CAACACGUCGCACCCAAUGCCUUUGCACUCACAACGGGUGCCUCGGCCGUCGGGGCGGAGAUUGGCCUCCCGUGUGCCUGCAGGCGCGCGGUUGGCCUAAAGAGGGAGAUCAUGGCGACGAGGGCCACGGCGUUAGGUGGUUGGUUGUCCCGGGCUUUAUCCCGGGCACGGAUCACGCCGUGCGCCUUAGGCCGUCCGUGCUUCUCGUAGGGCCUUGAAGAAGCCGCUCGUACGGCUUUACGGAU
rnacentral:misc_RNA from 1 species